GUCUACGGCCAUGCUACCCUGAACAAGCCCGAUCCCGUCUGAUCUCGGAAGCUAAGCAGGGAUGGGCCUGGUUAGUACUUGAAUGGGAGACCCUAGGAAGACCAGGUGCUAUAGGCU
rnacentral:rRNA from 1 species